AAAUUGAAGAGUUUGAUCAUGGCUCAGAUUGAACGCUGGCGGCAGGCCUAACACAUGCAAGUCGAACGGUAACAGGAAGCAGCUUGCUGCUUCGCUGACGAGUGGCGGACGGGUGAGUAAUGUCUGGGAAACUGCCUGAUGGAGGGGGAUAACUACUGGAAACGGUAGCUAAUACCGCAUAACGU
rnacentral:rRNA from 3 species